rnacentral:rRNA from 1 species
AACGAACGCUGGCGGCGUGCCUAACACAUGCAAGUCGAGCGCGAAUGGAGCAAUCCUAGUAGAGCGGCGCACGGGUGCGUAACACGUGGGUAAUCUGCCUCAAAGCCCGGGAUAACCUGCCGAAAGGCAAGCUAAUACCGGAUAAGCCUACGGACUCUUCGGGGUCUGAAGGAAAAGGUGGCCUCUGUAUACAAGCUAUCACUUUGAGAUGAGCCCGCGGCCCAUCAGCUCGUUGGCGGGGUAACGGCCCACCAAGGCAACGACGGGUAGCUGGUCUGAGAGGACGAUCAGCCACACUGGAACUGAGACACGGUCCAGACUCCUACGGGAGGCAGCA